UGUUGUGUAGUGUCAUCCUCCAGACCAUCAUCAUCAUCAUCAUCAUCAUCAUCUCCAAGGAAGUUCCUGCCCUCCAGACCCAGUGGAAAUCGAAUCAAUGGAAAUCGAUUGCAGAUCGGUUUCAAGUGGAUGGAACGGGGUGAGAGAGACAAUGAGGGCGGGUUUUCCAACGUGAGGGACUACAGGUGCUUAUGGAGAAAGGUACCCGAGGCUGAGAUACCAUCUCUUAAUCACACGUGUUAUUCAGGCAUAUGUGGCUUCCACCCACAUCCUUGUCGCUGACUAUCAACAAUGGAUUAUCUAUGCAAACACGGAGCAAUAAACAUCGGGUGUGACACGUAUCCCGCCCCAAGAACCGGACAUCCCUAGAACAUCGUUGACCAUCAUCCACCAAAAGGGCUUCUAAUCCCCCGGAGGGUGGCUUCUCCAGCGGCCGCAUACCAGCCCGGACACUCUGAUGUACUGAAUGCCUCCAACAAACAUAAAGGCGCUAAUUAUUCAUCAUAGCAGUGAGUUCCGCCCUCGUGCUAAUUAAUCCUGGACAUUAGAGGACGACUACACAUUAUGUACAUCAACCACAUCAGCCGCACAAUUCCUGUUCACCCGGAGAGAUUGAUAAGCACCGCGUACCCUCGUCGGGAGAUAAAAAAAAAAAGGGACAGGAAAAAUCCUGGAGUUUGAAAAAUGUUGGAUUGAAAAAAAUCGAGGAGGAAUUCUCUGUCUAUUGAGUUCCUGGACAUCACACAAACGCAUGACGGAUAAGCUCGAGCUGCUUGAGCCAUUAACGUUAUUAACAUUCGAACGAUGAGAGUGACCUGUUAUGUACAUGUACAUAACCCACGCACAUUAUCGUGUACUGUAUGUGGAAGUGAUUCGAUGGUGGGAGGAAUUGUUAAAGAUAUUUUUUAAUAGAAAAAAAAUUCCUGAGGAUUUUUCUUCUGCUUCAAAUGUUUUUUUUUAUAUAUGAAAUUGUAGGGGGGGGGGAGAAUGUUUGUUUGUUUGUUGUUUAUGGAAGAUGUGAAUGGAAAUGGUUUAUGGAUAAAUAAAUAGUGGAUUUUGUUGUUAAAUUAUUUUUUGUUUUGGAAUUUAAUGAAAGAGGUUUUAAUUUGUUAAUUUGUUUGUGAAUGUGGGAGAAAAUUAAUAGAAAAUAAUGUGUUAUUAAUGAAAUAUUGGAUUUUGUUUAAGUGGUGAUUGUUGUUAAAUUGUUAUUUAUAAAUUUAAAAGAUGUAAAUAGAAAAUAAUUUGUACCAAAUAAAAUUGGGAAUUUUACUCGAAUAAUUUCUUUUGUUAAAUUAUUUUUUGUUUAUGGAAUACCAUAAAAUAAAAAUUGCAGUGGAUCAACGGAUGUCAAUUGAUUGUUUACAAAUAUCAAAAAUACGAAUGAAAAACAAUUAAAAAAUAGCAAAUAAAUCGAUUAAAAAAUAAAUCCACCGAAAAACUUCUGAAAUAUCAAAUUUUUUAUAAAUUAUUCUGCAAAAAAAAUUCAAAUUUGUUUCUAUAAAAAAUUGCUAUCCAUAAACCAACUAUUAUCAACAAUCAGAUGAUACAUAUUUCCAUUAACAAAUCAAUUUCAACACAGCCCUCGAAUUUUCUUAUAAAAAAAAAUUGUCUGAUGAGAAAAAUUUGAAUAAAAUUUUUUUGUAAAAAAUUCUGGACAUUCCAUCCAAUUCCUGCAUUUAUCUAGGAUACAUUAAUCAGAGAUGUUGAAGGAAGCUAUUCCAUGUAUGGAGCAACGUCUUCCCCAGGUCUACCUCGUCUCACAAACAUUGAGACAAGCGAUUGUAAAAAAAAAAUAGAACUGUCGCA